rnacentral:rRNA from 1 species
GAUGAACGCUGGCGGCGUGCCUAAUACAUGCAAGUCGAGCGAACGGACGAGAAGCUUGCUUCUCUGAUGUUAGCGGCGGACGGGUGAGUAACACGUGGAUAACCUACCUAUAAGACUGGGAUAACUUCGGGAAACCGGAGCUAAUACCGGAUAAUAUUUUGAACCGCAUGGUUCAAUAGUGAAAGACGGUUUUGCUGUCACUUAUAGAUGGAUCCGCGCUGCAUUAGCUAGUUGGUAAGGUAACGGCUUACCAAGGCAACGAUGCAUAGCCGACCUGAGAGGGUGAUCGGCCACACUGGAACUGAGACACGGUCCAGACUCCUACGGGAGGCAGCAGUAGGGAAUCUUCCGCAAUGGGCGAAAGCCUGACGGAGCAACGCCGCGUGAGUGAUGAAGGUCUUCGGAUCGUAAAACUCUGUUAUUAGGGAAGAACAAAUGUGUAAGUAACUGUGCACGUCUUGACGGUACCUAAUCAGAAAGCCACGGCUAACUACGUG